rnacentral:tRNA from 1 species
AAUUCAGUGGCGUAAUCGGUAGCAUAUCAGACUGGACAUUUUUAGAUGCAGGUUCGAUUCCUGCAUGAGUUU